GAUGAACGCUGGCGGCGUGCCUAAUACAUGCAAGUCGAGCGAACAGACGAGGAGCUUGCUCCUUUGACGUUAGCGGCGGACGGGUGAGUAAAACGUAGGUAACCUACCUAUAAGACUGGGAUAACUUCGGGAAACCGGAGCUAAUACCGGAUAAUAUUUCGAACCGCAUGGUUCGAUAGUGAAAGAUGGCUUUGCUAUCACUUAUAGAUGGACCUGCGCCGUAUUAGCUAGUUGGUAAGGUAACGGCUUACCAAGGCAACGAUACGUAGCCGACCUGAGAGGGAGAACGGGCAAACUGGGACUGGGACACGGGCCAGAACUCCUACGGGAGGAGCAAGAGGGGAACUUCCGCAAAGGGCGGAAGCCUGGCGGAAGAACGCCGCGGGAGGGAAGGAGGGCUUCGGGUUGGAAAACUCUGUUAGUAAGGAAAGACAAACGUGGAAGUAACUGUGCACGUCUUGACGGGUACCAAUCAAAAAAGCACCGGUUAAUACGGGG
rnacentral:rRNA from 1 species